rnacentral:rRNA from 1 species
AUUGAACGCUGGCGGCAUGCCUUACACAUGCAAGUCGAACGGCAGCACGGGUGCUUGCCCCUGGUGGCGAGUGGCGAACGGGUGAGUAAUACAUCGGAACAUGUCCUGUAGUGGGGGAUAGCCCGGCGAAAGCCGGAUUAAUACCGCAUACGAUCUACGGAUGAAAGCGGGGGACCUUCGGGCCUCGCGCUAUAGGGUUGGCCGAUGGCUGAUUAGCUAGUUGGUGGGGUAAAGGCCUACCAAGGCGACGAUCAGUAGCUGGUCUGAGAGGACGACCAGCCACACUGGGACUGAGACACGGCCCCGACUCCUACGGGAGGCAGCAGUGGGGAAUUUUGGACAAUGGGCGAAAGCCUGAUCCAGCAAUGCCGCGUGUGUGAAGAAGGCCUUCGGGUUGUAAAGCACUUUUGUCCGGAAAGAAAUCCUUGGCCCUAAUACGGUCGGGGGAUGACGGUACCGGAAGAAUAAGCACCGGCUAACUACGUG